rnacentral:rRNA from 1 species
UCCGGUUGAUCCUGCCGGACCCGACUGCUAUCAGAGUGAGACUAAGCCAUGCGACUUAACGUAUGAAUAAUACGUGGCACACGGCUCAGUAACACGUAGUCAACAUGCCCAGAGGACGUGGAUAACCUCGGGAAACUGAGGAUAAACCGCGAUAGGCCAUAAUUACUGGAAUGGGUUAUGGCUUAAACCUAUAUGGCCUCUGGAUUGGACUGCGGCCGAUCAGGCUGUUGGUGAGGUAAUGGCCCACCAAACCUGUUACCGGUACGGGCUCUGAGAGGAGGAGCCCGGAGAUGGGCACUGAGACAAGGCCCAGGCCCUAUGGGGCGCAGCAGGCGCGAAACCUCUGCAAUAGGCGAAAGCCUGACAGGGUUACUCUGAGUGAUUCCCGCUAAGGGGAUCUUUUGGCACCUCUAAAAAUGGUGCAGAAUAAGGGGUGGGCAAGUCUGGUGUCAGCCGCCGCGGUAAUACCAGCACCCCGAGUGGUCGGGACGAUUAUUGGGCCUAAAGCAUCCGUAGCCGGUCAUGCAAGUCCUCCGUUAAAUCCACCUGCUUAACAGAUGGGCUGCGGAGGAUACUACAAGGCUAGGAGGCGGAAGAGGCAAGCGGUACUCAGUGGGUAGGGGUAAAAUCCUCUGAUCCAUUGAAGACCACCAGUGGCGAAGGCGGCUUGCCAAUACGCGCUCGACGGUUAGGGAUGAAAGCUGGGGGAGCAAACCGGAUUAGAUACCCGGGUAGUCCCAGCUGUAAACGAUGCAGACUCGGUGAUGGGCCGGCUUUAUGCCGGCUCAGUGCCGCAGGGAAGCCGUUAAGUCUGCCGCCUGGGGAGUACGGUCGCAAGACUGAAACUUAAAGGAAUUGGCGGGGGAGCACCACAAGGGGUGAAGCCUGCGGUUCAAUUGGAGCAACGCCGGAAAUCUUACCGGGGGCGACAGCAGAGUGAAGGUCAAGCUGAAGACUUUACCAGACAAGCUGAGAGGAGGUGCAUGGCCGUCGCCAGCUCGUGCCGUGAGGUGUCCUGUUAAGUCAGGUAACGAGCGAGAUCCCUGCUUUUAGUUGCUACCACUACUCUCAGGAGGAGUGGGGCUAAUUAAAAGGACUGCCGCCGCUAAGGCGGAGGAAGGAGGGGGCUACGGCAGGUCAGUAUGCCCCGAAACCCUCGGGCCACACGCGGGCUGCAAUGGUAAGUACAAUGGGUUCCGAUUCCGAAAGGAGGAGGCAAUCCCUAAACCUUACCUCAGUUAUGAUUGAGGGCUGAAACUCGCCCUCAUGAAUAUGGAAUCCCUAGUAACCGCGUGUCAUUAUCGCGCGGUGAAUACGUCCCUGCUCCUUGCACACACCGCCCGUCGCUUCAUCGAAGUUGGUUCUUGGCGAGGUGGUGCCUAAUUGGCACUAUCGAACCUGGGGUCAGCAACGAGGGAG